UUGUUAAGCGUCCAACUGCAUUAGGCUUUAAAAUACCAAGGUAUCUAGCGAGUUCUGCUUCCUUAACCAUACCAAUUGCAACACACUCUCCAUGAAGGAUUUGUGGGUACAAAAUUGCUUCAUAAGCAUGACCAAUAGAAUGACCAAAGUUUAAAAGGUUACGGAGACCACCCUCAUGUUCGUCAAGCGUAACUACUUCACACUUAGUACGAAUUGAGGAAAGAAUAAUUUUUUGCAAAAGCGGUUUGAUACUAUCAAACUUGUAUUCUCCUGGAACGGAAGGUUUGUUCAAGGCAUCCAAUAAAACAGCGGAAUUGUUUUCAAGUAAUUGAAAAUCAUUUUCGUUCCACAUAGCAGCUGUUUUUAUAAUUUCGGA